rnacentral:rRNA from 1 species
GUGGGGAAUAUUGGACAAUGGGCGAAAGCCUGAUCCAGCCAUGCCGCGUGUGUGAAGAAGGUCUUCGGAUUGUAAAGCACUUUAAGUUGGGAGGAAGGGCAGUAAGUUAAUACCUUGCUGUUUUGACGUUACCGACAGAAUAAGCACCGGCUAACUUCGUGCCAGCAGCCGCGGUAAUACGAAGGGUGCAAGCGUUAAUCGGAAUUACUGGGCGUAAAGCGCGCGUAGGUGGUUUUGUAAGUUGGAGGUGAAAUCCCCGGGCGCAACCUGGGAACUGCCUCCAAAACUGCAUGACUAGAGUACGGUAGAGGUUAGUGGAAUUUCCUGUGUAGCGGUGAAAUGCGUAGAUAUAGGAAGGAACACCAGUGGCGAAGGCGACUACCUGGACUGAUACUGACACUGAGGUGCGAAAGCGUGGGGAGCAAACAGGAUUAGAAACCCGAGUAGUCC